rnacentral:tRNA from 1 species
GCCUUCGUAGCUCAAUCGGCAGAGCGCUGGUUUGUCAGGUCAGAGGUAGCCAGUUCGAAACUGGUCGAAGGCGCCA